rnacentral:rRNA from 1 species
GAGUUUGAUCGUGGCUCAGGACGAACGCUGGCGGCAGGCUUAACACAUGCAAGUCGAACGGGUGUAGCAAUACAUCAGUGGCAGACGGGUGAGUAACACGUGGGAACCUUCCUCGUAGUACGGAACAACUCAGGGAAACUUGUGCUAAUACCGUAUACGUCCGAGAGGAGAAAGAUUUAUCGCUAUGAGACGGGCCCGCGUCGGAUUAGGUAGUUGGUGGGGUAACGGCCUACCAAGCCGACGAUCCGUAGCUGAUCUGAGAGGAUGAUCAGCCACACUGGGACUGAGACACGGCCCAGACUCCUACGGGAGGCAGCAGUGGGGAAUCUUGGACAAUGGGCGCAAGCCUGAUCCAGCCAUGCCGCGUGAGUGAAGAAGGCCUUAGGGUUGUAAAGCUCUUUUGGCAGGGACGAUAAUGACGGUACCUGCAGAAUAAGCCCCGGCAAACUUCGUGCCAGCCGCCGCAGUAAG